UAUGAACUUAGCAUUUGAAACAUUAUUUAAGGCUGUUUUACGUUGUGCAAUACACCAUCUCCACCAGUGAGAGGCAGCAGUGCACGAACAGGCGUGCAGUGUGUUGGUUAAGAAGAAAUCUUCCAUAUUGUGGGGCCAACCGAACACACGUUAUAACGGCCAGACCUCCUGUUUAAAAAGAAGCCAAAGUUUGACACCUAAUAA